rnacentral:lncRNA from 10 species
AGGCUGGAGUGCAGUGCAAUGGCAUGAUCUCGGCUCACUGCAACCUCUGCCCCCCAGGUUCAAGUGAUUCUCCUGCCUUAGCCUCCUGAGUUAGCUGGGAUUACAGGCGUGUGCCACCACACCCAGCUAAUUUUGUAUUUUUCAGUAGAGACGGGGUUUCACCAUGUUGACCAGGCUGGUCUUGAACUCCUGAACUCAGGUAAUCCUCCGGCCUCAGCCUCCCAAACUACUAGGAUUACAGGCGUGAGCCACCGCGCCUGGCCACCAAGAGUCUACUUUCAAGGAUCAUUUCCAUAGUUCGUUACUAGAGAAGUUUCUCUGAAUGUGUAGAGCAUCAAUAUGUUAAGUAAGAAAAGUUCCAUCACUGAGUCAGGGGAAGGCAUAUGACCAAAAUAUACCUUGGCCCUUAAAGCUUAGAGUGUCACAGAUCACUUCUCUCUUUUCAUUGCCCAAAGCAAGCCACGUGGUUGCAGCUAAUUUUAUAGAGGUGGAAAAGAACAAUUGUACUAUGUGCCUGAAUGGCGAUAAAACUGGUUAAAUUUGGUGAGUCACAAUGACAGCAUCACAGGAAGAAAUGGUCCAUUUCUGGUUGACUUAAUUCACUUUUGGUUGGUACCCAUUACUUAACCAUUUGAGACCUUCAGUCUAAAAUUUGGAAUGUAAUAGCUAAACAUUCAUUCCCGUUUCGGUGUUUCAGUAGGGGUUCUCUGCAUGUGGUCGGAGGUGAACAUAAUCUGGUGGUAAUACAAGCACUGAGCUUAGUCCCUGUAGCCCACCCUGUGGGGUGGUUGUGAGGAUUAAAUGUGUACGCAAAGGGCCUGGCAUGUACUACAGCCUAGAUAAAUGUUAGCUGUUGUGGGUUAGGGAAGAAAUGGUAGUAGAUGAAAGACUUACGUACACUCCCAGUCCUGACUUCCCACAUUCCUUCCCAUUCUAUAAUCUGACAUCAGCCCUCCCCAUCUGAAUGUGGCUGCUUCCAAAGGUGACCUGUGUGCUCUGUCAUGAAGUUCAGGGUUUCCCUACAGGCCUUAUCUUGCUGAGGUCUUCCAUACCAAUAUGAUGCUGCAAAACAACCCAUUUACUGAAACUCUGACUUCCCUGACACUUCUCUCUUGUUUCUCUUAACUUUUGGACUACCUAAAAAUAUAUGUAAUAUUUGAUAAAUACAAAAGGAUAUAUGUAACAUACAUUAUGAAAUUCAAUAAUAAAAUGAACACUCAAACCCACCGCCUAACCUAAUAAUGAUCCCAUCUCUUUACCUUCCCCAGAGGUAAUCAGCAUCUUGAUUUCAUUUUAUUUUUAUUUUGAGACACAGUCUUGCUCUAUUACCCAGGCUGGAGGGCGGUGGCAUGAUCUCAGCUCAUUGCAACCUCCGCCUCCCGGGUUCAAGCGAUUCUCGUGCCUCAGCCGCUUGAGUACCUGGGACUACAGGCGCCCACCACCACGCCUGGCUAAUUUUGUAUUUUUAGUAGAGACGGGGUUUCACCAUGUUGGCCAGGCUGGGUCUUGAACUAAUGACCUCAAGUGAUCCACCUGCCUCAGCCUCAUAAAAUGCUGGGAUUACAGGCGUGAGCCACUGUGCCCAAACUUAAAUGUGAUGUCUCAUUCCUACCUCUCCAUUGUUUCCUAUACCCCAUCCUCCUCCAGCUUGAUUCCCUUAUCUCUGAUUAAUGUCACCAUUAUCCUCAUAGUCACCCAAGCCACAAACCUCAGUCAUCCCAGAUUCUUUCCUCAUCCACAAGCUCAAACAUUCUGCUUCUGCAGUGUCUCAUAUCUGCCCCUCUUCAUUUUCAUGGCUCCUCCCCAUCUUACUUCUUCCUCUUCUUCUUUUUUCCUGCCAUUCAAAAUGUGAUAAGUGGUUCAGCAACAUUAGCAUCACCUGGAAACCUAACAGAAAUGCAGACUAUUGGCCGGGCAUGGUGGUUCACACCCAUAAUCCCAACACUUUGGGAGGCCGAGGCGGGCGGAUCACUUGAGGUCAGGAGUUCAAGACCACCCUGGCCAACAUAGUGAAACCCUGUCUCUACUAAAACUACAAAAAAAUUAGUCAGGCGUGGUGGCGCAUGACUGUAAUCCCAGCUACUCAGGAGGCUGAAGCAUGAGAAUCGCUUGAACCCGGGAGGCAGAGGUUGCAGUGAGCCAAGAUCGCACCACUGCACUCCAGCCUGGGUGACAGAGUGAGAUUCUGUCUCAAAAA